rnacentral:sRNA from 1 species
GGGCAAAAAAAGGCCCAAAACUAUUCCAAUUGUUUUGGGCCUAGGGGAAUGGCUCAUGGUUGAGCCGUGCGCUAAUGUUGAGAUCCGACAGGGUUGGCUAUCUCUGAAUAAAUAUUAGCCGAUAACCGGUGAAAGAUGCAUUU